rnacentral:rRNA from 1 species
GUGGGGAAUAUUGGACAAUGGGCGAAAGCCUGAUCCAGCCAUGCCGCGUGUGUGAAGAAGGUCUUCGGAUUGUAAAGCACUUUAAGUUGGGAGGAAGGGCAGUAAGUUAAUACCUUGCUGUUUUGACGUUACCGACAGAAUAAGCACCGGCUAACUUCGUGCCAGCAGCCGCGGUAAUACGAAGGGUGCAAGCGUUAAUCGGAAUUACUGGGCGUAAAGCGCGCGUAGGUGGUUGUGUGAGUUGGAGGUGAAAUCCCCGGGCUCAACCUGGGAACUGCCUCCAAAACUGCAUGACUAGAGUACGGUAGAGGGUAGUGGAAUUUCCUGUGUAGCGGUGAAAUGCGUAGAUAUAGGAAGGAACACCAGUGGCGAAGGCGACUACCUGGACUGAUACUGACACUGAGGUGCGAAAGCGUGGGGAGCAAACAGGAUUAGAUACCCUUGUAGUCC